rnacentral:piRNA from 1 species
UGAUAAAUCAGUUUUAAAUAG